rnacentral:rRNA from 1 species
AUUGAACGCUGGCGGCAGGCCUAACACAUGCAAGUCGAGCGGUAGAGAGGUGCUUGCACCUCUUGAGAGCGGCGGACGGGUGAGUAAUGCCUAGGAAUCUGCCUGGUAGUGGGGGAUAACGCUCGGAAACGGACGCUAAUACCGCCUACGUCCUACGGGAGAAAGCAGGGGACCUUCGGGCCUUGCGCUCUCAGCUGAGCCUAGGUCGGAUUAGCUAGUUGGUGAGGUAAUGGCUCACCAAGGCGACGAUCCGUAACUGGUCUGAGAGGAUGAUCAGUCACACUGGAACUGAGACACGGUCCAGACUCCUACGGGAGGCAGCAGUGGGGAAUAUUGGACAAUGGGCGAAAGCCUGAUCCAGCCAUGCCGCGUGUGUGAAGAAGGUCUUCGGAUUGUAAAGCACUUUAAGUUGGGAGGAAGGGUCGUUACCUAAUACGUGACGAUUUUGACGUUACCGACAGAAUAAGCACCGGCUAACUCUGUGCCAGCCGCCGCCGUAAAAC